UAAAAAACUCUGUCUUCCUCAAUCUUUGUUUCUUUAGAGUAACAGUAAAUCCUCAUUUAAUGUCUGUCCAAAAGGAGCAUGAAAAGUAAAGAAGGAAGGAUGGAAAGAAAGAAAAAGAAAGAAAGAAGGAAGAACAGAAGGAAGGUCAAUCAUGAAUAGCAUCAGGGUUAUUAUGGUCCAAUGGAGCCAGGCAUGGGACAGCCAAAUAUCACUCAAAAGUACAGGUUGGAAAUCAGAGCCCAGGGUCCUAUCACAUAGAAUUGGCUCCAGAGCUUGCUCCAGAACAAUCAGGAGGAACUGAAUUUUCAGCUCUCAUUAGAAAAAGAAAAACAUCCAUUCAUGAGAGUCCAGGGAUACAUGAAAAUAAAGCAAAUGGGGAAAGACCCAUUCACAUUCCUCCAAAAGAUCUGCUGUUCCUUGGAAUCAUGUUCCUGGCUCCUGGUAGUCCCCGACUUUACCUGUCUGUUCCAGGAACUUGCUUUAUGGCCAUUUGUUCUGGUGAUUAGUUUGAACAACCGACCUUUAUUCCACCACCUCAGACAAUAUUCAACACCCUGUAAUCAUCAUAGCGAAAGAUGUGUCAUGAAAAGUAAAGAAUUAAGAGUUUUCAACUGGCCCAAGGAGAGGGAACAGUCUCAUUUACUGUACUAUAUGGCAUCAUAA
rnacentral:lncRNA from 1 species